rnacentral:rRNA from 1 species
GCGGCGUGCUUCAUACAUGCAAGUCGAACGAGAAGCAGGAGCUUGCUCCUGUGGAAAGUGGCGGACGGGUGAGUAACACGUAGGAAAUCUGCCUUUGGGUGGGGGACAACAGUUGGAAACGACUGCUAAUACCCCAUGUGAGCUUGGUUGCAAUACCAAUCUUGAAAACUCCGGUGCCUAAAGAUGAGCCUGCGUCUGAUUAGCUUGUUGGCGGGGUAAUGGCCCACCAAGGCGACGAUCAGUAGCUGGUUUGAGAGGAUGAUCAGCCACAAUGGGACUGAGACACGGCCCAUACUCCUACGGGAGGCAGCAGUAGGGAAUUUUGCGCAAUGGGGGAAACCCUGACGCAGCAACGCCGCGUGAAUGACGAAGCCCUUCGGGGUGUAAAGUUCUGUCAGUAGGGAAGAAUUUUGACUGUACCUACAAAUGAAGCACCGGCUAACUCCGUGCCAGCCGCCGCGGUAA